GAGACCUAACCCUCUCUAAUGUUUUAUAUAUGAAAGGCUCAAUAAUGAACAAUGAGUUUGUCAAAAGGCUAAAAAAACAAUGCAGUGGCUCCUCCGCAUUCAUGUGAGUACCUCCACCUUCUCACCUAAAUAUCUAUAAAUGUCCUUGUCCAUUUACUUGCCUUUCUUCUUCACUUUUCACUUUUCUUUUAUUUAUAGGACUUUUUUUUAUUGCAAAAAAUUUAUAUAAGGUGUUAACCUUAGUACAAGUAAGAUGUACCUAAAAAACCCACUGAACCAGGUUGCUCCUAUACUGGAAAACCCCCAACUCAGUCAUCUCGACCUCGAGAUUCAUAGAUAUGAAAAAAGGGGGGAUUUCUACUCAUAAAAAUAGUUCACUACUAAGACAUUAUCGAGACUGUCCAUUAUCAAGAUUUUCAAGUGUUUAUAGAUCGGCUUGAUUGUCACCAUUUCUAAAACUUUAAAUUUAGUAAUUGGGGGAAACAAUAGAUUUUUAUAUCAUUCCAAGGCUUUGCGGUACCGAAACUACAUUUUUGACAUAAUUUUAGACAUAUCUUACUUCAAUAGUAUACGGUUGACACCUCAUACAAACCUAACCUUUUUUUAAAAAAAAUUUCCAUUAUUUUAUUUUUUAUCGUCAGUUUACCAGCUUGAUAAAAUGAAUCUCUAGAUGUCAAUAUCAUGUUAUGGCACCUGUUACCUUGAUCGGGAAGCCUAGGGGCUAUUCCAUAUUAUUAGUACUAUCAAUAUUAUCAUUAUUGAAAGAUGGCUUUACUUUGAAGAGAAACAAUAAAACAUUCUAAAUUAACAUACUCUUUCAGAGGGCGUGUAUUCGGUACUCCUAGUGCAUAAGGUUUUAAGUGCAAAACAUGUAGUUUGGGGAAUUUUAUGACUUGAAAGUUUCAGAGAAGAUCUUUGAUUUUUGUAUUGUGAUCAAAAGUUUUACAAAACAUCUUUGAUUUACUUUGCAGUCAACUUCUAAAAUAGAAAAAAAAACGAAAGAUUAAGAUAUGAAAGCCUUAGAUCUCAUAUUAUUAUUUUUUUUUAAAAAAAAUAUUUUAAAUCAGGACGUGGUAGAAAUAGAACUCAAGAUGCUAUAUCUGCCACCGUGAUUACUUUUGCCAUAAGCUUGUUUUUGUAGAUCUCAUUGUCUCAUCAAUAAUCCAAUCAUAGAGUUAGAAUCGACAUGUGGCUUUUUUUGAGCUCCAAAUCAACUUCUUUAGUCUGAUCUUAGAGGGGAAUAAAGAAGAUCAAAUAGUUGUGUUAAAUAAAUCCUUGAAACAUGAUGUUUUGGAUGAAGGACCGCAUGUUAAAAUCAAGGGUUUAAACCAAUGGUUAAAAAAACAGAUUGGCGCCCUGGAUCGGGCACCCCAAAAACCCAUCCUGAUCGGUGAAUCGGUGAUUCGAAUCGGGAAUCGACAGAAUCGGCCAGAUUCAGCCUUAAAAAAUCCAAAAAAAAUAUUAAAAUUCUUAUUAGGAAUCCAAUAAGAAAUGAUGAGACUCCAUUAAGAACUUUCAUUUUUUGGAUGAAUAUGCGAAUAUUUAGAUGUGAUAUCUGUAUGCUAUUAAUUAUAAUAUAGAAUUGUAACAUUACAUCAAAAUAAUUAAAAAAUGUUAGAAAACACUUCCAUAUAAUUUAAAAUAAUUUUAAUGUAUAUAAAACUAAUUAUAUUGACAUUCAAAAUAUUACGGAAGAUCGUUCUGUGACGUCAGGCAACCCGUGACUACAACUUGACGAUUCAAUGUAGCGACUCGGUGGUUCACUAUAGUGACUCAGCAGUUCUUCUCUAGAACCGGGUGACUCUGCGCACAGUGGAAUCGACACGGGAUGAUCGAUUCCCGUGUCGACUCGGCGAGUCCGUUUUGACUCACUGUCUUUUAAAACACUGGUUUAAACACUAAAAUGUGUAACUUAGUGUCACUAUUUUGUGGUGAAACCCCUUAUAAAAUCAUUUGAGAGUUAAACAUCCCCGUUAAUACUAUAUGCGUUAUUUUCAAAUUUUCGUUUAACUCAAGUGCCAUCUCAAAAAGUAUCUUAAAAAAUAA
rnacentral:lncRNA from 1 species